GUAAAAGGGGGAAACGCCGACGCUUAAAUGCCGACGCUAUUGAAAAGCGUCGGUAAAUUCUUCUCCCGCGCUAAAUUUUACCGACGCUUUUAGUGAGUGUGGGAAAAUUGAGGGAUUAGACGACGCUUAAAAGCGUCGUCGUAGACUGAAGCCAAACGACGCUUUAAAGCGUCGUUGUUGAUGGCCUAAGACGACGCGUAUAUGCGUGGUUAAUCCAAACGGUAAAACGACGCUUAUAAGCGUCGCCGAAGGCACCUUAAGACCCACCGUCCCGCAGACUUGCCCUAGCUACUCCCGAGCCCCCUCUUUCUCCUCCUCUCCGGCGCUGAAGCCACCGAACCCAGCGGCCUUCGUCUUCCUCCUCUCGGCGUUGCCUUAGCCCCCAUCUUCCUCCUCUCCGGUGCGGAUCGUCCGACUCCUACCUCCUCCUCCUCCCUCCUCUCCGGCGUCGACCGACCGACCCCAACCCGCUCCGCCCUCCCGAGGUAGUUUUCUUCUCCUCCCUCCUCUCCCUCCUUCUCGCUUGUUCUGCUCCCCACCAUUUCUGUUCAACCGUUUCCCUCCCGCUUUCGGCAAGUAAAACGCUAGCCCUCGUGUUCCGUUCCUUCCACCGUCUCUCCCUCUUCAGUCCCACUCGUCGUGACCUCUCUCUCUCUCGGCUUCCAUCUUUCUUCGCGAAAUCCCUAAGAGAAUUUUUAGGGUUUCGUUGCGCCCGAUCCGGGCCGGCGUAUGAGGAGGGGCUUCCAUCCCGAUCACCGCCCGGGGCGGCCGCCAUUCCGGCCGUUGCUGGGCCACUUCGCUAGGGAAUGCCCUAACGUGAAGUGAGAUCUACCGUUGCUAAUCCUUCCAUCCUUUUUCGGCCUUUUAAUUUUGAUCUUUUUCCCAUCUAAUAUAUGUGUUCUUGGUUGCUGAUGAUGGGGUUUAUCCUUUUUUUUUACAUUUCUUUCUUUAAAAAUGGAUUCUGGAAAUGGUUUUCCUUUCUCGUGUUUUGCUUUGGUUUCAAUAGAUUGUGGCUUAUAUUGGGCUUUUGUGCUGAGCUUCGAGGGAAAACAGAAAUCAAAUGGUCUAUGUAUACACUCUUUGAGGGUCUAUCUCUUACACCCCUCUCUCUCUCUCUCUUCUCCGCGACCCACAUAUGCCUUCUGUUUGAUUGUUUUGUUUCGUGUAGUUUGAUCUUUGGUGUAUUAGUUCUUCGUAAUCUUUCUGGUAUUUUGUUUUUGUGGCUAUUAAUUAAUCAGUUAUGUUCUUGUUUUUUUUUUUUUGUCUAUUUUGGGGUAAAUUUUGCGCAGUAAGAAUUCCCCUUAUUUUUUUUGUUCAAGUGAAGUGGAUUGUUUUAUGCGUGCCUUCUGUCUGAUAGUUGUGAUGAGAUUGGCUCAAGUUUAGGAUAUUUUUUUAAUGGAAAUACGUAGUUAGUUGAUUACAUGCAUAUGCUGAAGGUGAUGCCUUGCUUUGAUUGUGGCUUGUGUCUUUGUGUUCUGCUACCUUUUCAUGAAGUGCUAUUAUUUUUUAAUAUGGAAAGUUGGGGCAUGGUGUUCUUUUGGGUCACUUGUCGACAUGAGUGCUGUAAACCUGAGUACUGUUAAGUUGGCUGUGGGAGAAUUCUCUGAAGCCAAACAUAAUUGAUAUCAGUCGUGGAUGCCUUUUAUGCUAGUAUUCUCUGUUCUUCAGUUUAUUUACUUGUUCUUCUUCCUGUUGGGAAAGAUAAAAUCCUUUUGAAGUUUAUUGUAUUGUUUUUAUUGACCACAUCAUUUGAGCACUACAGGAAAAUUGGGAAAAGGCGACCCUUUUUUGCCGACGCUAUCCACAAGCGUCGGGAAAAAAUACCCCAGGCGUCACAUAUCCUCACGCUUCAAAGAAGCGUCGGUGGCUACAUGUGUAUAAAGCAUUUCUGUUGUCCCACCUACACAUGUGAAAAUUUAUGUGUAUAAAUUGGAUAUAUAUACAUGUGUUUGCACGCAUUUAUGUUCAUAACUCACAUGGAUGCUCUCAGAUAAGCAUAUAGAGGUGCCAUGGAUCAGGAAAUCACCAUAUAUUGAAAGAUUGGUAGAUGAGCUUGUUCUUUUGUGCAAAGAAUCUGCAGUAAGAAAGAGCCGUGAAGUUAUCCGCAAUCACAUUUUACAAUUACUGUUGUUGAUUCAGAAGUAACAAUAUGCCUCGAGGGAGACGAUUUAGAGAUGUGGAGUUCCAACAUUCUCAAGUGGGAUC